rnacentral:rRNA from 1 species
UACGUAGGGUGCGAGCGUUAAUCGGAAUUACUGGGCGUAAAGCGUGCGCAGGCGGUUUUGUAAGCCAGAUGUGAAAUCCCCGGGCUUAACCUGGGAAUGGCAUUUGGGACUGCAAGGCUGGAGUUUGGCAGAGGAGACUGGAAUUCCUGGUGUAGCAGUGAAAUGCGUAGAUAUCAGGAGGAAUACCGAUGGCGAAGGCAGGUCUCUGGGCUAUAACUGACGCUCAUGCACGAAAGCGUGGGGAGC